UACAGAGGUCUCAAGCGUUGUUCGGAUUCAUUGGGCGUAAAGGGUGCGUAGGUGGCAUGGUAAGUCGGAUGUGAAAUCCCGGGGCUCAACCCCGGAACUGCAUUCGAUACUGCUGAGCUAGAGUACUGGAGAGGAGAUUGGAAUUUACGGUGUAGCAGUGAAAUGCGUAGAUAUCGAGAGGAACACCGGUGGCGAAGGCGGCCUUCUGGACAGUGACUGACGCUGAGACGCGAAAGCGUGGGGAGCAAACAGG
rnacentral:rRNA from 1 species